UACGGAGGGUGCAAGCGUUAUCCGGAUUCACUGGGUUUAAAGGGUGCGUAGGCGGGCAGGUAAGUCCGUGGUGAAAAUCUCUGAGCUUAACUCAGAAACUGCCAUGGAUACUAUUUGUCUUGAAUAUUGUGGAGGUAAGCGGAAUAUGUCAUGUAGCGGUGAAAUGCUUAGAUAUGACAUAGAACACCAAUUGCGAAGGCAGCUUACUACACAGUUAUUGACGCUGAGGCACGAAAGCGUGGGGAUCAAACAGG
rnacentral:rRNA from 1 species